ensembl:lncRNA
CAAAUAUAUAAAUAAAACUAAAAAAAACAGCAGAAACAGUACAACAAAAUGAAAGAUAAUAAAAGAUUUAUUAAAUAGUUCACACUAGAAAAAAAAUAAAUGCUAAAUGCAAAUAUUAAAACAAAAGAAUUAACAGCAGAAACAGUACAACAAAAUGAAAGAUAAUAGAAAAGAUUAAAGUUCACAUUAGAAAAAAAUAUAAAAUAUAUAACAAUUAUAAAAUAUAUAUUAAGGUAAACAAAUUACUAUAUACAAAAAUAAAAAGAAAAAUGUAAGAAACAGUAUAACAAGUUAAAAAAAUUAUUUAAAAAAAUAGAAAAAGGAUAUAAAUGUAAAUAAAAUACUAAAGACAAAUUAAAAUAAAACAAAAAUCAAUGGCGGAAGCAGUAUAACAAAAUUAACAAAGAUAAUAAAAGACUUAUUGAAUAGUUCACAGUUUUUAAAAAUUCUAAAAAUAUAUACAAACAAAAUACUAAAUACAAAUAUUUUAAAAAGUAUUUAACAAAAAUCAAACAAACACUGUAAUAAAAUGAACAAAGAUAAUAAAAGAUUAAGAUAAAGAAAACAAAACAAAAAUUCAGUGGCAAUUAUUUAAGGGGGAGCAAGAGACCGCUGCUCUGCCAGCCAAAGUUCCACAGUCUUGCCCUCAUAACUGCUGCAAAAGGAUUUGCCACCGUACCUUGUCCGAGGCACGUGGUCAACGUUGUCUGCAGCUGCAACCCUCUUCUGCUCAGAAAGCCAUUGAGAUACUGUCUUUCCAGCUGCAGUGGCACAGAAACCUUUUCCCCUAAAGAAACUGUGUCCAAACUCCAGUCUCUUUGGCUGUCCACACAAUCUGCACGGAUAUCCCUUUGCCGUGCAAUGGCUUUGUGAUGCAUUAGGGCUUUUUUGUCCUCUUCGGCCCUCUUCUUUCGUCUCCAGGCUGUGGCCCUUGGUACCCGUUUAAGGGCUGCAGCAGAUACAGCUGAUGGAGGAGGGAUUGUGUAUUCAUGUAGGAACUGUUUAAGGCAAAAAUACAUAUAGUAUUACAUUAGACAUUUGUUGCUUCUUACAUGAAUUUAUUCUUUUACAUUCUUUCAU